AACUUAAAUUUAUGAUCUUUAUAGAAAUCAUUAUUUUAACAAUUACAUCUUUGGAAGAUAAUAAGUUGAUAGGUUAAUAAAUUUUACCUUUUGUAUAAUGGUUGUACUAAAAAUAUAUUGAAUUAUAUUUCCCGAAAUAAGAAGAGCUACUUACCAGCUUAUUUUAGUAACUAAAAAGUUAUGUUGAAAUAUGGCUAAAAGACUGGUAAAUAGGAGCGAAAAACUUUCAAUUCUUAUGAUAUCUGGAAACUCUAGAAAAGCAUAUAGUGCUGUAAAGUGAGAUACAAAGUGAUGAGAUUUUGUAUAGCUAGAAUUAUGAAUUGUCUUUUCUUCUCUAGAGUUAACCCUAAAGAAAUUUAAUGAGAAAACUAUUUAUUAUUUGUUUUAUCUAGUGUAGUAUAGAGUUUUUCUAAGGAUCUACCUCUUAGAAGUAAUAAUGUAUAAAUGAGUAGUGUACAAUAAUAAUCUUACUUUAAUCUAUAAAGAAGAUUUAUAAAGAUUAUCUAACAUAAUUAACUGAGAGGAACUCGGCAAAUAUAAACUUCGACUGUUUAACAAGAACAUAGCCUCAGGAUAAACUUGAUCUGAGGUUAAACCUGCCCAAUGUUAUAUUUUAUGAAUGGCCGCGGGACUUUGACCGUGCUAAGGUAGCGCAAUCAAUUGGCUUUUAAUGGAGGCCAUGUAUGAAUGGAAUCACGGGGUUUAGCUGUCUCUUAGUGUAAUUUAUCUGAAAUUACUAUUUAGGUGAAAAAGCCUAAGAAAAGAAAAAGGACGAGAAGACCCUUAGAGUUUUUCUAAAAUCAGGAUUGUUCCUGAAAAAGUUUAGUUGGGGCAACAUAGGAGCAUUAGAAACCUCCUGUAAGAUACUUACCGAUUUUAAUAAAUGUGAAUAAACUACCUUAGGGAUAACAGCAUAAUUUUAUAAAUAAGUUUGUGACCUCGAUGUUGGACUAGGAAACUGAGAGGCUAGCCGCCUCUUAGGAAAGUUCUGUUCGAACUAUUAUUCCUACGUGAUCU
rnacentral:rRNA from 1 species